rnacentral:rRNA from 1 species
UACGUAGGGUGCGAGCGUUAAUCGGAAUUACUGGGCGUAAAGCGUGCGCAGGCGGUUUUGUAAGCCAGAUGUGAAAUCCCCGGGCUCAACCUGGGAAUGGCAUUUGGGACUGCAAGGCUGGAGUACGGCAGAGGAGACUGGAAUUCCUGGUGUAGCAGUGAAAUGCGUAGAGAUCAGGAGGAAUACCGAUGGCGAAGGCAGUUCUCUGGGCUGAUACUGACGCUCAUGCACGAAAGCGUGGGGAGCAAACAGG